GAACGAACGCUGGCGGCGUGGAUUAGGCAUGCAAGUCGAACGAGAAUCUGAAGGUCCAAGUUUUCGGACAAGGACUUUUGGAGGACAGUGGCGGAAGGGUGAGUACAACAUGGAUAAUCUACCUUCAAGUUGGGUAUAGCUCCUCGAAAGGGGAGAUAAUCCCGAAUGUGGUGAUCCGGCGCAUGUCGGAGAAUCCAACGGCGGGGACCGCAAGGCCUGUCGCUUGAAGAUGAGUCCGUGCACUAUCAGCUUGUUGGCGGGGUAACGGCCCACCAAGGCUAUGACGGUUAGCUGGUCUGAGAGGAUGGUCAGCCACACUGGGACUGAGAUACUGCCCAGACUCCUACGGGAGGCUGCAGUCGAGAAUCAUUCGCAAUGGGCGAAAGCCUGACGGUGCGACGUCGCGUGGAGGAUGAAGGUCUUCGGAUUGUAAACUCCUGUCAUGAGGGAUAAAUGGCCAGGGCAAGAAUACUGCCUUGGAAUGAUAGUACCUCAGGAGGAAGAGACGGCUAACUCUGUGCCAGCAGCCGCGGUAAUACAGAGGUCUCGAGCGUUGUUCGGAUUUACUGGGCGUAAAGGGAGCGUAGGCGGUUCGGUAUGUCGAAUGUGAAAGCCCACAACUCAACUGUGGAAAUGCAUUCGAAACUGCCGGGCUAGAGUACUGGAGAGGAGAGCGGAAUUCUUGGUGUAGCGGUGAAAUGCGUAGAUAUCAAGAGGAACACCGGUGGCGAAGGCGGCUCUCUGGACAGAUACUGACGCUGAGGCUCUAAAGUUAGGGGAGCAAACAGGAUUAGAUACCCUGGUAGUCCUAACCUUAAACGGUGUACACUUGGUGUGCGAGGAAUUGUCCCUUUGCGCGCCGCAGCUAACGCGAUAAGUGUACCGCCUGGGGAGUACGGUCGCAAGAUUAAAACUCAAAGGAAUUGACGGGGACCCGCACAAGCGGUGGAGCAUGUGGCUUAAUUCGAUGCUACACGAAGAACCUUACCUGGGUUUGACAUAGAGGUAGUAGGGAAGCGAAAGCGGACCGACCCUUCGGGGAGCCUCUACAGGUGUUGCAUGGCUGUCGUCAGCUCGUGUCGUGAGAUGUUCGGUUAAGUCCGCUAACGAGCGCAACCCUCGCUGUGUGUUACAAGUGUCACACGGUACUGCCGAUAUUAAGUCGGAGGAAGGUGGGGAUGACGUCAAGUCAGCAUGACCUUUAUAUCCAGGGCUACACACACACUACAAUGGCCAGUACAAUGGGUUGCCAAGCCGCGAGGCGGAGCCAAUCCUAAAAAGCUGGCCUCAGUUCAGAUUGCAGUCUGCAACUCGACUGCAUGAAGUCGGAGUUGCUAGUAACCGCAGGUCAGCUAUACUGCGGUGAAUACGUUCCCGGGGAU
rnacentral:rRNA from 1 species